GCCGAGGUAGCUCAGGGGCAGAGCACCUGAUUGUGGAUCAGGGGGUCGGCGGUUCGAAACCGCCCCUCGGUAC
rnacentral:tRNA from 1 species